rnacentral:misc_RNA from 1 species
AUAGCUUUUACGCUGCUCGCGCUCGCUGGACGCGCAUCGGAUUUCAUGAGAUGGACCAAACACGUUGUUUGUGCUGAUCAGCUCUCUGUUCCUGGGAAAGGUUAUGCUGUGUUAAUUAACACAUGGAAGAGAUAUGAUCUUUUGAAGCAGUCAAUUUCCCACUAUUCAUCUUGUGCUGGGCUUGAUUCUAUACAUGUAGUGUGGAGUGAGCCCAAUCCUCCAUCAGAAUCUCUUGUUAGUUAUCUAAAUCACGUUCUACAAUCAAAAUCUAAAGGUGCUAGGCAGGCAGAAUUGAAAUUUGAUAUCAACAAGGAAGACAGU